ensembl:lncRNA
GUCAUAGUCACACAAACCACAUAACACCUCCUGGAGAGGAGCAGGGAGGAGAGGAGUAGACCACAGACCACAUACCACCUCCUAGAGAGGAGCAGGGAGGAGAGGAGUAGACCACAGACCAACAUAACACCUCCUGGAGAGGAGCAGGGAGGAGAGGAGAAGACCACAUACCACCUCCUAGAGAGGAGCAGGAAGGAGAGGAGUAGACCACAGACCACAUAACACCUCCUAGAGAGGAUCAGGGAGGAGAGGAGUAGACCACAGACCACAUAACACCUCCUAGAGAGGAGCAGGGAGGAGAGGAGAAGACCACUCCAGGAGUGAAGGAGAGGAGAAGACCACUCCAGGGGAGAAGGAGAGGAGAAGACCACUCCAGGAGUGAAGGAGAGGAGAAGACCACUCCAGGAGUGAAGGAGAGGAGAAGACCACUCCAGGAGUGAAGGAGAGGAGAAGAACACUCCAGGGGUGAAGGAGAGGAGAAGACCUCUCCAGGAGUGAAGGAGAGGAGAAGACCACUCCAGGAGUGAAGGAGAGGAGAAGAACACUCCAGGGGAGAAGGAGAGGUGAAGACCACUCCAGGACUGAAGGAGAGGAGAAGACCACUCCAGGAGUGAAGGAGAGGAGAAGACCACUCCAGGGGAGAAGGAGAGGAGAAGACCACUCCAGGAGUGAAGGAGAGGAACAGGGAGGAGAGGACAAGACCACUCCAGGGGAGCAGGAGAGGAGAAGACCACUCCAGGGGAGAAGGAGAGGAGAAGACCACUCCAGGAGUGAAGGAGAGGACCACCCCCGGUUUGAACCCAACAACGCAUCCCCAGACAUCAUAACGUAGAAAUAUCCUGUCCAAUCAGCUGUCUCAGAAUAAAAGAGUUGUAUAAUAAAACAGACGCUGUUAAAUGAAAACAUUUUAAAACCAGGAGUUUAACACACCCACCGCCAACCACAGGUUUCAGAACAACUAACCGCAGGGCGAAGGAGUGGCCUGUGAUGCGUUUCCUGUCCUAUCUGUGUUGUGAUUGGUUGAUCAGGGUGAGAGGAGUUCUGAUUGGUGGAUCAGGUGUGACGUGUGCGUUUUAAAUCAACCCCAAUAGGGACCAGCAACAGAAUUCUGAUCUGUAGUCUGAAACAUUGGGAUUAGAAACCUACAGACUACAGAACCAGUCUGCUGUUUAAAGACUUUCAGCUGAGCAUCAGGUCAUGAGGAUAGUGUUGAUCUGGAUAUGUCUACUGGGCAUGAGUCUAGCCUUUCCAGUCCACAAGAGACGGGUGACAAGAUCAGACAACGAUGAAGGAGAGGGGCAACAGAGUGACUACAGUCAUUCAAGUGAUGAAGAGGAGGAGGAGGGAGGACAGGAAAAAGAAG